rnacentral:rRNA from 1 species
CAGUCGUACGAGAGUUUUUAACUCAAGUGGCGGACGGGUGAGUAACACGUAAGAAUUUGCCUUUAGGAGGGGGACAACAACUGGAAACGGUUGCUAAUACCCCAUAUGCUUUCGAGUGAAAUGGAUUUCCGCCUAGAGAGAAGCUUGCGGCUGAUUAGCUUGUUGGUGAGGUAAUGGCUCACCAAGGCGACGAUCAGUAUCUGGUUUGAGAGGACGAUCAGACACACUGGAACUGAGACACGGUCCAGACUCCUACGGGAGGCAGCAGUAGGGAAUUUUCCGCAAUGGGCGAAAGCCUGACGGAGCAAUACCGCGUGAGGGAUGACUGCCUAUGGGUUGUAAACCUCUUUUUUCAGGGAGGAAUAAAUGACGUGUACCUGAAGAAUAAGCAUCGGCUAACUCCGUGCCAGCAGCCGCGGUAAGACGGAGGAUGCAAGUGUUAUCCGGAAUCACUGGGCGUAAAGCGUCUGUAGGUGGCUCGAUAAGUCAACUGUUAAAUCUUGAAGCUCAACUUCGAAAUCGCAGUCGAAACUAUCGGACUAGAGUAUAGUAGAGGUAAAGGGAAUUUCCAGUGGAGCGGUGAAAUGCGUAGAUAUUG